UCUUCGGCAAUGGACGAAAGUCUGACCGAGCAACGUCGCGUGAGUGAAGAAGGUUUUCGGAUCGUUAAACUCUGUUGCUAGAGAAGAAUGUUGAUUAGAGUGGAAAAUUAUUCAAGUGACGUUAUCUAAUCAGAAAGGGACGGCUAACUACGUGCCAGCAGCCGCGGUAAUACGUAGGUACCGAGCGUUGUCCGGAUUUAUUGGGCGUAAAGCGAGCGCAGGUGGUUUAAUAAGUCUGAUGUAAAAGGCAGUGGCUCAACCAUUGUGUGCAUUGGAAACUGUUAGACUUGAGUGCAGUAGAGGAGAGUGGAAUUCCAUGUGUAGCGGUGAAAUGCGUAGAUAUAUGGAGGAACACCGGUGGCGAAAGCGGCUCUCUGGACUGUCACUGACACUGAGGCUCGAAAGCGUGGGUAGCAAACAGG
rnacentral:rRNA from 1 species